rnacentral:rRNA from 1 species
UACGUAGGGGGCAAGCGUUGUCCGGAUUUAUUGGGCGUAAAGAGCGUGUAGGCGGCCAGACAGGUCAGCUGUGAAAACUCGAGGCUCAACCUCGAGACGUCGGUUGAAACCGUCUGGCUAGAGUCCGGAAGAGGAGAGUGGAAUUCCCGGUGUAGCGGUGAAAUGCGCAGAUAUCGGGAAGAACACCCGUGGCGAAGGCGGCUCUCUGGGACGGUACUGACGCGUGAGACGCGAAAGCGUGGGGAGCGAACAGG